rnacentral:rRNA from 1 species
CAGUAGCCGCGGUAAUACGUAGGUGGCAAGCGUUGUCCGGAAUUAUUGGGCGUAAAGCGCGCGCAGGUGGUUUAAUAAGUCUGAUGUGAAUGCCCACGGCUCAACCGUGGAGGGUCAUUGGAAACUGUUAAACUUGAGUGCAGGAGGGAAAAGUGGAAUUCCUAGUGUAGCGGUGAAGUGCGUAGAGAUUAGGAGGAACACCAGUGGCGAAGGCGGCUUUUUGGCCUGUAACUGACACUGAGGCGCGAAAGCGUGGGGAGCAAACAGGAUUAGAUACCCCAGUAGUCCCUGUCUCUUAUAC